GAUGAACGCUGGCGGCGUGCCUAAUACAUGCAAGUCGAGCGAACGGACGAGAAGCUUGCUUCUCUGAUGUUAGCGGCGGACGGGUGAGUAACACGUGGAUAACCUACCUAUAAGACUGGGAUAACUUCGGGAAACCGGAGCUAAUACCGGAUAAUAUUUUGAACCGCAUGGUUCAAAAGUGAAAGACGGUCUUGCUGUCACUUAUAGAUGGAUCCGCGCUGCAUUAGCUAGUUGGUAAGGUAACGGCUUACCAAGGCAACGAUGCAUAGCCGACCUGAGAGAGUGAUCGGCCACACUGGAGCUGAGACACGGUCAAGACUCCUACGGGAGGCAGCAGUAGGGAAUCUUACGCAAUGGGCGAAAGCCUGACGGAGCAACGCCGCGUGAGUGAUGAAGGUCUUCGGAUCGUAAAACUCUGUUAUUAGGGAAGAACAUAUGUGUAAGUAACUGUGCACAUCUUGACGGUACCUAAUCAGAAAGCAACGGCUAACUACGUG
rnacentral:rRNA from 1 species